AUGCUUGUUUCAGCAGCACAUAUAGUAAAAUUAGAAUGAUACAGAGAUUAGCAUGGCCCCCUGUGAAAAGAUAACAUGCAAAUUUGUGAAGCAUUCCAUAUUAAA
rnacentral:snRNA from 1 species